ensembl:lncRNA
CAAUGAAAGUGAAAGUUUAGACAGAUAUAAUUUAACAUGAAAUAUGGUAAUUGCACAUCAAAUCUGGCGAAUCCAGAAGAUCACACAUUCAAGCUUCUUUCUUUGUUAUUGGUCAUUGAUUUAAAAAAUAAAAUUCAUUACAUCAUGAAAUUCAGUAAUUAAAAUAGUUGAAAUGUAUGUAGUGAGAGACAGAGUGAAAUCAUAAGGGUCUAAUAUAAUUCUGUAUUUUUAACUAAGCAGAAUCAUGAAUAUUUGUGUUCUGGUGUCUCUAUUGCUCUCUGCAUGAGGGUCUUAUUUAAGUCCAUUCCUGAUGUAACACUACAUUUAGGUGUUACUGUAAGCCAGACACAUUAAACAUACAAAUAGCUGCAGAAAAAAUAAGGUGGAAUAAGAAUCCUGAAAUCCUUCACGACUCCUCAGAGCCUCCUCAACAAAAACUGAAAUAAGAAAACUAAUAUAUUAUGAAAUAUGACAUAAAAUAAUUAAUUGUAGUUUUAUAACUCAUUUACAAAGUAUUUUUCCCUGAAAGAGCUGUUUGAGUCAGUUCAUAUUUUUGUCUUUCUUCACAGAUUCACCAACAUCUAAACUGACUGUGACUCCAAACAGUCCUGUAUUCACUGGAGAGAGAGUCGAUCUGAAGUGUGAGAUUGAGUCUGACAGUGACUGGAGAUAUGAGUGGUAUAAAGGCAGAAAGGACAACAAUGUGAUUUUAAAGGACUCUCAACAUUACACUGUAAACAGAGACACUCUCACUAUCAGAGGAGCUACUGAGUCUGAUGCGGGUCAGUUCUGGUGUAGAGGACAGAGAGAUAAAAGACCAAAAUCAUCACAAUCAAGCUCUGUUUCUCUCACUGUGAAGGGUGAGUUAAAUAUCAUUGUCCUCAUAAACUCACUCUGUUAUGAUCACAUGUCCAUCUGAGAGACUGUGGUUUUGAUCAAAAUGGAAAACUCUUACUGCUUACCAAAUUCAGCAUAAUUUCCACAUAUUUCUUCAUGUGAAGCAAAUCACAUACAUCGAUUGACUCAAACGGUCACAUGACUUCAUUUCAUUGCACUUUUUACACUCUUAAAUUAUGUAAAUGUUGUACAGUCUGCGAUUGUAUGAUCUGUGAAUACAACAGAACAUACUGGAUACUAAUAUCAAUGUUUUGUGUCAUACCAAUAUUUACAAAUAUUUUUGAUGUAAUUAAUAUCAAUGACAAGGGUUGACACUGUUGCCAAUAAGUUACUGUAAUUAAGAUUACUGUAAACAUAUAUGUGCUUCAGUUUUACAGUAAACUAACAUAUGAAAACAAUAUAAAAUACACAAAACUCUCAAAAUCAU